GAUCAUGCUCAGGACGAACGCUGGCGGCGUGCUUAACACAUGCAAGUCGAACGGAAAGGCCCUGCUUUUGUGGGGUGCUCGAGUGGCGAACGGGUGAGUAACACGUGAGUAACCUGCCCUUGACUUUGGGAUAACUUCAGGAAACUGGGGCUAAUACCGGAUAGGAGCUCCUGCUGCAUGGUGGGGGUUGGAAAGUUUCGGCGGUUGGGGAUGGACUCGCGGCUUAUCAGCUUGUUGGUGGGGUAGUGGCUU
rnacentral:rRNA from 1 species